ensembl:lncRNA
AUCAAAUCUGCAUCCUCAUGGAUACUAGUCGGAUAAUUAACCUGCUGAGACACAAUGCGAACUCCCCUUUGGAGGAAUCUUGAUAGCUUGGUAGGAUGUCUUUCUUUGAAGCAUUUACAGUACUAUUUACUUUUUAAAAUAAGACUUUAAAACUCUUUUCUUUAGCAUAUCAUUAGCCUCUGAGGAUCUUAAAAUAAAAGGGACUUUGGCUCAUUAAUAGGAACUUUGGCUUCCCCUAAAGGUGGGAAUCUUGCCUAAAACUUCCUGAUGGUUAUCCAACCACUGCUUGAUAGGGGUGAGAGAAAGGGGAAUCAUUUAAUGGGGACAGAGUACCAGAGGAAAACGUUUGAGAGACUGGUUGUACAACAACGUGAAUACACUCAACAUAAUGGACUCUACCCUUAAAAAUGAGUAGGUGGUAAAUUUUAUGUUAGGUGGUUUUUUUUACUGCAACUGCAAAAAAAAAAAAUGUAGAAAAAGAAAAAGUGAAAGUCUGGUAAUUUAGAGAGAAGGCAAGGUUGUAGUCAUAUUAAGAAACAAGCUAGUGGAGUUCCCGUCGUGGCUCAGUGGUUAAUGAAUCCAACUAGGAACCCUGAGGUUGUGGGUUUGAUCCUUGGCCUUGCUCAGUGGGUUAAGGAUCCGGCCAUCCUCAUGGAUACUAGCCAGAUUCUUUAUCACUGAGCCACAGUGGGAACUCCCAACACUGUAUUUUCUAUUUAAAAUUAGGUUAAAUAUUUCUGUGCUUUUGUCCACACCAUUACUUUAACUUGGAUAAUCGGUAUUCCUUUAUAUUAAAAUAUAUACAUAUAACAAAGGGGGUUAACUGAACUAGAUUAUAAAAUGCUUUUAGAUUAAUAACUAGAGUUGAAAAUAAGACAUUUUAGCAUCUUAGAAGAAAACAAAUUAUGUAUGUUAGUUUUUUUUUUUUUUUUUUUUUUUUGGUCUUUUUAGGGCCGUACCUGCGGCACAUGGAGGUUCCCAGGCUAGGGUCCAACUGGAGCUAAGCCGCCGGCCUAUGCCACAGCCACAGCAACUCUGGAUCCAAGCCAAGACUGUGGCCUAUACCACAGCUCAUGGCAUCGCCGGAUCCUUAACCCACUGAGCAAGCCCAGGGAUCGAACCCGCAACCUCAUGGUUCCUAGUUGGAUUCGCUAACCACUGAGCCACGACAGGAGCUCCUGUAAGUUUAGUUUUAAUGAAUAAGGGUAUCUGAAUUUAAAAUGCAUGCCUGAGAAAGGCCAUUUUCACAAACCUGUGUUGCAGAAAGUCAUAUAUUAGAUGUAUUCAAAUGAAAUAAAAGGGAAGGAUGAUUAGAGUUUUUAGGCCAACAGUAGAUUUAUAAGUAUAUAUUAUUAUCAAAGGCUUUUUCUGUUCUCUCACACUCAGCUAACAGCUUACGACAUUGUAAACUUCCAAAGAACACAGUGAUCAGGAAGAUUCUUUCAUAUCUACAAUGAUAACCAUGGAUAUCAUUGAUAUUGUUAUAUUGAUUCUUCAUUAGGAGGUGGGGGGGUGACCUUUCACCCCAAGGGACAGAGAGAGUUUUGAUUGUCACAGCUGCGGGGAGGGGGUGUGCUACUGGCAUCUAGAGCGCAGAGAUGGGGAUAAACAUCCCACAAGGCAAAAAACUGCCCCCCACUCCCAGCCUGAAUUCAAGAAUUAUCCAGCCUCUAUGUCAACAGUGGUUGAGAACAUACUACAUAAAAAAACAUAUUCUUUUCCAUUUCUUUUUUUCCUUGCACCUCUCGUCUUUUGAGUAACUCUUGAAGGAGAAAUGGAGCAUAUUUUAUGACAAGAAAAAGAGAAAAUACGACUGAGUUUUUCUUACUGACUAAGAAUUUGGUCCAUGCUGCAUCUGAAGCAGCACUGUUUUGACCAACGUCAAGAGUCUUUUGACAAGACACUUUCCACCAAAUUUUUACUUGACCAAUGGAAUAACAGACUUUGUACCAGAUUUUAUUGAUUAAUUAAAAUAUGAAAUAUAAGAAAAAACAGAGCCUGAAGAAAGAAUCAGCAAUUUAUAUCCAUUUACAUCAUAUCUGACCACCAUUACUGGGCAUUGGAAGUGCUUUCUCGUAGACUUCACAAAUGAUUAUUAAUUUAAAAACUGAAAGGUGUCUUGGUAUUUGUGUUAUGACA